ACGGGAGGCAGCAGUGGGGGAUAUUGCACAAUGGGGGAAACCCUGAUGCAGCGACGCCGCGUGAGUGAUGAAGUAUUUCGGUAUGUAAAGCUCUAUCAGCAGGGAAGAAAAUGACGGUACCUGACUAAGAAGCUCCGGCUAAAUACGUGCCAGCAGCCGCGGUAAUACGUACGGAGCAAGCGUUAUCCGGAUUUACUGGGUGUAAAGGGAGCGUAGACGGUGACGCAAGUCUGAAGUGAAAGGUGUGGGCUCAACCCGCAAACUGCUUUGGAAACUGUGUGACUAGAGUGUCGGAGAGGUAAGUGGAAUUCCUAGUGUAGCGGUGAAAUGCGUAGAUAUUAGGAGGAACACCAGUGGCGAAGGCGGCUUACUGGACGAUAACUGACGUUGAGGCUCGAAAGCGUGGGGAGCAAACAGGAUUAGAUACCCUGGUA
rnacentral:rRNA from 1 species